GUUAGAGCGUUGGGCCAGUAACCAAAAGGUUGCUGGAUCAAAUCCCAGAGCUGACGAGGUAAAAAUCCGUUGUUCUGCAACAAGCAACAAGGCAGUUCACCAACUCUUCCCUCAUUGGCUGUCAUUGUAAAUAAGAAUGUGUCUUAACUGACUUGCCUACUUAAAUAAAGGUUACACAAGUAAUAAUAUGUUACAGCUUAUGUUACACAAACAAUGAAUUGAUUUCAUCUUCAUUCCUUAGGGAUCAAUCAGGCUGCAUUCAAGUACAAAUAUGUGACAACCACAACAUUGUGAGUGCCAAAAUGGCAAAGACCUUCUCAUAUCGAAGACAAGAUGUCGUUCAGGCCCUUCCUGUGAAGGACUUCAAAGAAUGAAUGGCCAGCCCUGUUUGAGCCCACUCAGCAGUGUACUCGUUCCAGUUGGAUUUUGACGAUAGCUUGGCGUGUCAUCUGAAGCGCUGUAAAGGAGGAACUCUGUAACUACAGAUUCAGGAACUUCUCCUUCUUUCUCUUGGAUACCUGAAAACGCCAAGGAGUGUGGAGAUGCAUCUCAGAUCUACCUACCCGUCUGUCUCUCUCUUCUUCAACGGUCUCACUGCCUCCUUCACCUGUCUCAAGGCCUCCACGCUGGUUUCUGAUGACAGACAG